rnacentral:lncRNA from 1 species
AUUUUUUACGCACAGUGUUAAAGGUUUCCCAGGUUUGAGAUGGUUUCUGAGAACUGAAGGACCCAAAAACAACAAAAAAAAAAUUUAAAUGCUUAAUUUGUGUUAAAUUAUUUCUGAUGCUAUCAGUGAAUUAAGAACAAACUUUUCAUAGUUAUCAAUUAAGGACUUAAUUGAUUAUUUUGUUAAGUUUGAUAUUAAUUCACUUAGAGCUUCAAAUAAUAUAAAUUCAAAUUAAGCAUUUAAACCCCCCCCCCCCCCAAAAAAAAAAAAACCCCUUCCAUUCUUCGACACUGUGAUUACAAAGAUCACAUUUUUUAUUUUCAGUGGGGUUUAAGGGGUAAAGAUAAAGCCAUUGCCUUUAGUCCUUUACCUCCACCCCAUUUAUUUAUUAAAAAAAUAGAAACUUUACUGUUAAUUCAUAGAAAAAUUGGAUGACGGUGGGAAAGUGAAAGACACUUGGUUGGUUGGCCCGUUUUUAAAAACCUUUUUUUUUUGUUAAUUUGUGUGGUGCAAGCGGAAAAGAACGGUGAAUAAGAAAAGUGAGGAGCAAGAAAAAGAAAAUGAAAGGGACUGAUCGGGGGAAUUGGGAAUUAGGGUUUUUUAUUUGAAGUUCAAUUUGUGUAAUUAUAUUGACCAAAGGAAUAGCCUUUGAUAAGGAUAACUGAGAAUUAGGGUUUUUGAUUGGAGUUCAAUUUGUGUAGUUAUAUUGACCAAAGGAAUAGCCUUUGAUAAGGAUAUUUGAGAAUUAGGGUUUUUAAUUGGAGUUCAAUUUGUGUAAUUAUAUUGACCAAAGGAAUAGCCUUUGAUCAGGAUAAUUGGGAAUUAGGGUUUUUGAUUUGUGUUCAAUUUGUGUAUUUUAAUUGACCAAAGGAAUAGCCUUUGAUAAGGAUAGACUUUAAAGGCUUCAACUUGAUAUAACCUUUUUUUGUUCUUAUACUCAAUGUUUUGUUGAUUUUAUUGGCUUUUUUUUUUUGACAAUUUUUUGUAUUUUACAAAAAAAAAACCUUAAAUUUUUUUGUUUCUUUGAUUGGUUUUUCAUGUUGUUUUUGAGCUGUCAUACGUGGAAACAUUCAAAGGAAAGAUGAAAUUGAGCCAUGUUUUACCCAAAAGUGUUUUUGUUUCAUUUUUUUUCUUAUUACAGGU